ensembl:lncRNA
AGAGCCUUCCAGGAAGGGAACAGCAAGUGCAAAGGCCCUGAGGGUCUUCCAGAGUGCCAGGUGUGCCCAGCAUCCCUGGGUAGGGCAGGAGAGGACGCGUCGGGGAGGAGCCCUCGGGUUAACAGUAAAACAGCCUAGAGCAGGGCUCUGCUCUGAGUGAAGAGCAGAGUGGUGCGCAGUUUCACCUCUAGAGGGAGCACGAAGUACGCAACACGAUGCUAUAGAGAAGAAGCGCAUGGGAAAAUGCUCAGAGCAGCCCUGUUCGGUGGUGACCUUCCGCUGCCUCCAUCACCAUAGUAACAGGAGGGCAGGUGGUCCCCAGCCCCCAGGUCUCCAGCUUGGCCAGAUGUCAAGUAGGCCAUGGCUUUGCUGCAUGGCCCCAACCCCGCCUGGCCCCCUGGCACCCUAAGUUCCCA